GAUGAACGCUGGCGGCGUGCCUAAUACAUGCAAGUCGAGCGAACAGACGAGGAGCUUGCUCCUCUGACGUUAGCGGCGGACGGGUGAGUAACACGUGGAUAACCUACCUAUAAGACUGGGAUAACUUCGGGAAACCGGAGCUACUACCGGAUAAUAUAUUGAACCGCAUGGUUCAAUAGUGAAAGACGGUUUUGCUGUCACUUAUAGAUGGAUCAGCGCCGCAUUAGCUAGUUGGCAAGGUAACGGCUUACCAAGGCAACGAUGCGUAGACGACCUGAGAGGGUGAUCCGCCACACUGGAACGGAGACACGGUCCAGACUCCGACGGGAGGCAGCAGUAGGGAAUCUUCCGCAAUGGGCGAAAGCCUGACGGUGCAACGCCGCGUGAGUGAUGAAGGUCUUCGGAUCGUAAAACUCUGUUAUUAGGGAAGAACAAAUGUGUAAGUAACUAUGCACGUCUUGACGGUACCUAAUCAGAAAGCCACGGCUAACUACGUG
rnacentral:rRNA from 1 species